CCUACGGGUGGCAGCAGUGGGGAAUAUUGCACAAUGGGGGGAACCCUGAUGCAGCGACGCCGCGUGGGUGAAGGAGUAUUUCGGUAUGUAAAGCCCUAUCAGCAGGGAAGAACAAUGACGGUACCUGACUAAGAAGUACCUGCUAAAUAGGUGCCAGCAGCCGCGGUAAUACGUAUGGUGCAAGCGUUAUCCGGAGUUACUGGGGGUAAAGGGAGCGCAGGCGGCGCGUUAAGCCUGGUGGGAAAGCCCGCGGCCGAACCGCGGUACUGCAGUUGGAACUGGCGCGCUGGAGUGACGGAGGGGUAGGCGGAAUUCGUAGUGUAGCGGUGAAAUGCGUAGAUAUUAGGAGGAACCCCAGUGGCGAAGGCGGCCUACUGGACGGUGACUGACGCUGAGGCUCGAAAGCGUGGGGAGCAAACAGGAUUAGAUACCCUUGUAGUC
rnacentral:rRNA from 1 species